GAGAACCAAGAGAUCCGUUGUUGAAAGUUUUGACUAUUUAGUAAUAAUCUGGUGUGACAAGUUAAUAAAAAAUUGGUUGUAAGUUUAGACCUCUGGCGGCAGGCUGGGCCCACCGCCAAAGCAAGUUUKUUUCAAAGAAAAACACAUGUGGUGCAAUUAAGCAAAUCAGUAAUGAUCCUU
rnacentral:misc_RNA from 1 species